rnacentral:rRNA from 1 species
GUGAGGAAUUUUGCGCAAUGGCCGCAAGGCUGACGCAGCAACGCCGCGUGGGUGAUGAAGGCCUUCGGGUCGUAAAGCCCUGUCAGGUGGGAAGAAAGGCCUGGAGAGGAAAGGUUUCAGGUUUGACGGUACCACCAGAGGAAGCACCGGCUAACUCCGUGCCAGCAGCCGCGGUAAUACGGAGGGUGCGAGCGUUAUUCGGAAUUACUGGGCGUAAAGCGCGUGUAGGCGGGGGGACAAGUCUGAUGUGAAAGCCCUGGGCUUAACCUGGGAAGCGCAUUGGAAACUGUUUUUCUUGAGUACUGGAGAGGAAGGGGGAAUUCCCGGUGUAGAGGUGAAAUUCGUAGAGAUCGGGAGGAAUACCAGUGGCGUAGGCGCCCUUCUGGACGGUAACUGACGCUGAGACGCGAAAGCGUGGGGAGCAAACAGGAUUAGAUACCCGGGUAGUCC